AGGAUGAACGCUGGCGGUCUGCUUAACACAUGCAAGUCGAACGCAACCUUCGGGUUGAGUGGCGGACGGGUGAGUAACGCGUGAGAAUCUGCCUUGGGGUCGGGGACAACCACUGGAAACGGUGGCUAAUACCGGAUAAGCCUUUGGGUAAAAGAUUUAUUGCCCCAAGAGGAGCUCGCGUCUGAUUAGCUAGUUGGUGAGGUAAAAGCUCACCAAGGCAGCGAUCAGUAGCUGGUCUGAGAGGACGAUCAGCCACACUGGGACUGAGACACGGCCCAGACUCCUACGGGAGGCAGCAGUGGGGAAUUUUCCGCAAUGGGCGAAAGCCUGACGGAGCAAGACCGCGUGAGGGAGGAAGGCUCUUGGGUUGUAAACCUCUUUUCUCAGGGAAGAAGCUCUGACGGUACCUGAGGAAUCAGCCUCGGCUAACUCCGUGCCAGCAGCCGCGGUAAUACGGAGGAGGCAAGCGUUAUCCGGAAUUAUUGGGCGUAAAGCGUCCGCAGGUGGCGAUUCAAGUCUGCUGUCAAAGCACGGGGCUUAACUCCGUUAAGGCAGUGGAAACUGAAUAGCUAGAGUGCCGUAGGGGUAGAGGGAAUUCCCGGUGUAGCGGUGAAAUGCGUAGAGAUCGGGAAGAACAUCGGUGGCGAAAGCGCUCUACUGGACGGCAACUGACACUCAGGGACGAAAGCUAGGGGAGCGAAUGGGAUUAGAUACCCCAGUAGUCCUAGCUGUAAACGAUGGAUACUAGGUGUAGCUUGUAUCGACCCGAGCUGUGCCGAAGCUAACGCGUUAAGUAUCCCGNCUGGGGAGUACGCACGCAAGUGU
rnacentral:rRNA from 1 species